CCUACGGGUGGCAGCAGUGAGGAAUAUUGGUCAAUGGACGAGAGUCUGAACCAGCCAAGUAGCGUGAAGGAUGACUGCCCUAUGGGUUGUAAACUUCUUUUAUAUGGGAAUAAAACGUUCCACGUGUGGGAUUUUGUAUGUACCAUAUGAAUAAGGAUCGGCUAACUCCGUGCCAGCAGCCGCGGUAAUACGGAGGAUCCGAGCGUUAUCCGGAUUUAUUGGGUGUAAAGGGAGCGUAGGUGGGGUGGUAAGUCAGUUGUGAAAGUUUGCGGCUCAACCGUAAAAUUGCAGUUGAAACUGGCAGUCUUGAGUACAGUAGAGGUGGGCGGAAUUCGUGGUGUAGCGGUGAAAUGCUUAGAUAUCACGAAGAACUCCGAUUGCGAAGGCAGUUCACUGGACUGCAACUGACACUGAGGCUCGAAAGUGUGGGUAUCAAACAGGAUUAGAUACCCGGGUAGUC
rnacentral:rRNA from 1 species